CUCCACCAGUGUCCCCUGAGCCCGGGCUCCUGAUCCCACAGAGACCCAGGCCUGGCUGCAGCUCGCCUUUCACACCCAGAUGUAGGAGCGGGCGCGGGAGCCCUGCCUGGGGCUGGGCUGGGGGCCAGCGCAACAUCUGGGAUCGAUUACCAACGGUGGCUGCGGAGUGGACUCCUCUGCCUGCCACUCACCUAUCUGCUGGGGUGACAGAGGAGAUGGGAAAGAGGUUUUCACAGCUGGAAUAAAUUGACGGGAAGUGGAGGGGGAGGGUCGAAAAGAGACAAAAAACAACAUUGAACUCAAGAUGGAAAAAAGACAGUAUUAGAGGAGGUAAUGAAGAAAAUAUGUGUGUGUGUGAGUGUGCCUGUGUUUGCACAUAGAAGUGUGUCUGGGCAAGUGUGAAUGUGUGUGCGUGUGUCUGGGGUACGUGUGAGUGUGUGC
rnacentral:lncRNA from 10 species